rnacentral:rRNA from 1 species
CAGUAGCCACGGUAAUACGUAGGUGGCAAGCGUUGUCCGGAAUUAUUGGGCGUAAAGGGCUCGCAGGCGGUUUCUUAAGUCUGAUGCGAAAGCCCCCGGCCCAACCGGGGAGGGUCAUUGGAAACUGGGAAACUUGAGUGCAGAAGAGGAGAGUGGAAUUCCACGUGUAGCGGUGAAAUGCGUAGAGAUGUGGAGGAACACCAGUGGCGAAGGCGACUCUCUGGUCUGUAACUGACGCUGAGGAGCGAAAGCGUGGGGAGCGAACAGGAUUAGAUACCCCCGUAGUCCCUGUCUCUUAUAC